rnacentral:rRNA from 1 species
GAUGAACGCUGGCGGCGUGCCUAAUACAUGCAAGUCGAGCGAACAGACGAGGAGCUUGCUCCUCUGACGUUAGCGGCGGACGGGUGAGUAACACGUGGAUAACCUACCUAUAAGACUGGGAUAACUUCGGGAAACCGGAGCUAAUACCGGAUAAUAUAUUGAACUGCAUGGUUCAAUAGUGAAAGACGGUUUUGCUGUCACUUAUAGAUGGAUCCGCGCCGCAUUAGCUAGUUGGUAAGUUAACGGCUUACCAAGGCAACGAUGCGUAGCCGACCUGAGAGGGUGAUCGGCCACACGGGAACUGAGACACGGUCCAGUCUCCUACGGGAGGCAGCAGUCGGGAAUCUUCCGCAAAGGGCGAAAGCCUGACGGAGCAACACCGCGUGAUUAAUGAAGGUCUUCGGAUCGUAAAACUCUGUUAUUAGGGAAGAACAAAUGUGUAAGUAACUAUGCACGUCUUGACGGUACCUAAUCAGAGAGCCACGGCUAACUACGUG